AGCAGUGGGGAAUCUUGGACAAUGGGCGCAAGCCUGAUCCAGCCAUGCCGCGUGAGUGAUGAAGGCCUUAGGGUCGUAAAGCUCUUUCGCCAGGGAUGAUAAUGACAGUACCUGGUAAAGAAACCCCGGCUAACUCCGUGCCAGCAGCCGCGGUAAUACGGAGGGGGUUAGCGUUGUUCGGAAUUACUGGGCGUAAAGCGUACGUAGGCGGACCAUUAAGUAAGGGGUGAAAUCCCAGGGCUCAACCCUGGAACUGCCUCUUAAACUGCUGGUCUUGAGUUCGAGAGAGGUGAGUGGAAUUCCGAGUGUAGAGGUGAAAUUCGUAGAUAUUCGGAGGAACACCAGUGGCGAAGGCGGCUCACUGGCUCGAUACUGACGCUGAGGUACGAAAGUGUGGGGAGCAAACAGGAUUAGAUACCCUGGUAGUCCACACCGUAAACGAUGAAUGCCAGUCGUCGGGUAGCAUGCUAUUCGGUGACACACCUAA
rnacentral:rRNA from 1 species